rnacentral:rRNA from 1 species
GAGAGUGGCGAACGGGUGAGUAACACGUAGGUGACCUGCCUCGAAGAUGGGGAUAACUGUUGGAAACGGCAGCUAAUACCCAAUGCACUCGAUAAUUCGGUUUAUCGAGUAAAGCGCCCCUCACGGGGAUAGCGCUUCGAGAUGGGCCUGCGGCCUAUCAGCUAGUUGGUAGGGUAAUGGCCCACCAAGGCGAGGACGGGUAGGGGGCGUGAGAGCGUGACCCCCCACACUGGCACUGAGACACGGGCCAGACUCCUACAGGAGGCAGCAGUCGGGGAUAUUGCGCAAUGGACGAAAGUCUGACGCAGCGACGCCGCGUGAGUGAUGAAGGCCUUCGGGUUGUAAAACUCUUUUAUGGGGGAAGAGGAAGGACGGUACCCCAUGAAUAAGCGUCGGCUAACUACGUGCCAGCAGCCGCGGUAAAACGUAGGACGCAAGCGUUAUCCGGAUUUACUGGGCGUAAAGAGCGUUGAGGCGGUUCUGUAAGUUGGGCGUGAAAGCCCUCGGCUUAACUGAGGGACGCCGUCCAAUACUGCAGGACUUGAGGGCAGCAGAGGGAGGUGGAAUUCCCGGUGUAGCGGUGAAAUGCAUAGAGAUCGGGAGGAACACCAGUGGCGAAGGCGGCCUCCUGGGCUGCUUCUGACGCUGAAUGCGAAAGCUAGGGUAGCGAACGGGAUUAGAAACCCCGGUAGUCCUAGCUGUAAACGAUGGAUGCUAGGUGUAGGAGGUAUAGAUCCCUUCUGUGCCGAAGCUAACGCGAUAAGCGUCCCGCCUGGGGACUACGGCCGCAAGGCUAAAACUCAAACGAAUUGACGGGGGCCCGCACAAGCAGCGGAGCGUGUGGUUUAAUUCGAUGCUACACGAAGAACCUUACCUGGGUUUGACAUGUAGGUAGUAGUGAAGCGAAAGCGGAACGACCCUUCGGGGAGCCUACACAGGUGCUGCAUGGCUGUCGUCAGCUCGUGCCGUGAGGUGUCGGGUUAAGUCCCGUAACGAGCGCAACCCCUGUCCUUAGUUACAAGUGUCUAAGGAGACUGCCGGCGACAAGCCGGAGGAAGGUGGGGAUGACGUCAAGUCAG